rnacentral:lncRNA from 1 species
GCAGAGAGGCAAAUGAUUAUGGGAUCAUUUAUUUAUAUUAUUAUGGCACAAUAGAAGUCACUUUGGUCCUUGAAUGUGUUCCAGUGACUCAAGAUAUUUUUUCCGAUGUUUUCUGACCUCUGCUCCUUUUCAAAUUCUCCCAUCUCUGAUAAAUUAGCUUCAAAACCACAGAAAAACCACAGCUGUGUUUGUUCAUCAGGGGCAUGAAGAAUGAAAGUAACUGUUUUCAUGAGGAAUCUUCAAAGGAGGUUCAGUGUGAAUGAUGAGGUAGAGUGGCUCCCUCUUCUCUCCAGCUCUUCAGUAACAUCUUACAUGGGCUACUAAAAGAAUGCCUGGCAGAGACACCCCAUUUCUCAAAUGACUCACUGGAUACACACUCUGCCGGAAGCUCUGUAUGCAUACCACAGUGCAAUUGAUAAUGUUUCAGACCAGUAACUCAGUACAGACUUCAAAAGUAGUGCAUGUGAUGUUAUUUUGUGUUAUUUUAUGGAUCCGUUGGGAAUGUGAUCAAAACAGAUAUGUCACGAAAAAAAUAGUUCAUUUUUUACAACAUUGAUUUUGUAACCAGUGAGUGAUUUUCAUCUGAGAAGAGAAUCAUCUGAAGAAAUAAGGCCUAGACUGACACCAUGAGGUUGGACUUUGGACCAUAUGUGUUUAGUCUGUUUGCUGUGUUGGAGGAAAUAUGGGAAAUCGCCAUGACCCUCUCUAGGUAUAGGAGAAGGGAAUGCAUGCUGGCAUAAUACCAAGCCAAAAGGUGAAACACAGACAAUAGUUGUGAAAUGAUAAAGGAGGGUGAUAGGAUAGAAAGGUGACUAUGAACCUGAACGUCAAAGUUCUUGCCAGAUUUUGUGCACUGUGAAUUGGGACAAGGACUCAGAUUCUGUGAUCCCAGUUUCACGUCUGCUAACUUGAGGCUGGAUUUCGACCAAACAUCUCAAAAUUUCCUUAUAGCUCUUAAAUGCUCAGAUUCUCUAACCCAGGUGUGUGUGUAUGUGUGUAUGUGUACAUAUGUGUAUGUGUAUGUGUGUGUUCUAAACUGUCUUGAAUUAUAAUUAAAUGGAAAGCAAGUUUACAAGCAAUUUACACAGAAAAUCAAAUGAUUCAUUUACAUGGGGUAAUAAAGUAGGUUGGCAAAGGAAUUUUUCAAAACACUAAGUAUUUGAAAUUCUGUUCUAAGGGUGAACAGAUGCACACUUACUACCACAAUACCUUUUGCAUCUUUUAUUUAAGUAAAAAGGAUCCUUGAAAUUUUAGUGAUUCUCGUGUGCAC